rnacentral:rRNA from 1 species
AUUGAACGCUAGCGGCAUGCCUUACACAUGCAAGUCGAACGGCGGCACGGGUGCUUGCACCUGGUGGCGAGUGGCGAACGGGUGAGUAAUACAUCGGAACGUACCUUAUCGUGGGGGAUAACGCAGCGAAAGCUGUGCUAAUACCGCAUACGCCCUGAGGGGGAAAGCGGGGGAUCGAAAGACCUCGCGCGAUUAGAGCGGCCGAUGCCUGAUUAGCUUGUUGGUGGAGUAAAAGCCCACCAAGGCGACGAUCAGUAGCUGGUCUGAGAGGACGAUCAGCCACACUGGGACUGAGACACGGCCCAG